rnacentral:rRNA from 1 species
GACGAACGCUGGCGGCGUGCUUAACACAUGCAAGUCGAACGGUGAAGCGCCUUCCUUUUUGGUGGGUGUGGAUGAGUGGCGAACGGGUGAGUAACACGUGAGUAACCUGCCCCCUUCUUCUGGAUAACCGCAUGAAAGUGUGGCUAAUACGGGAUAUUCUGGGUCUGUCGCAUGAUGGGUCUGGGAAAGAUAUUGUUUCGGUGGGGGAUGGGCUCGCGGCCUAUCAGCUUGUUGGUGGGGUGAUGGCCUACCAAGGCGGUGACGGGUAGCCGGCCUGAGAGGGUGGACGGUCACACUGGGACUGAGACACGGCCCAGACUCCUACGGGAGGCAGCAGUGGGGAAUAUUGCACAAUGGGCGCAAGCCUGAUGCAGCGACGCCGCGUGAGGGAAGGAGGCCUUCGGGUUGUGAACCUCUUUCGCCAGUGAAGCAGGCCUGCCUCGUUUGUGGGUGGGUUGACGGUAGCUGGAGAAGAAGCGCCGGCUAACUACGUG